rnacentral:rRNA from 1 species
CCUACGGGUGGCAGCAGUGGGGAAUAUUGGACAAUGGGCGAAAGCCUGAUCCAGCCAUGCCGCGUGUGUGAAGAAGGCCUUCGGGUUGUAAAGCACUUUCAGUGGGGAAGAAAGCCUUGGGGCUAAUACCCUCGAGGAAGGACAUCACCCACAGAAGAAGCACCGGCUAACUCCGUGCCAGCAGCCGCGGUAAUACGGAGGGUGCGAGCGUUAAUCGGAAUUACUGGGCGUAAAGCGCGCGUAGGCGGUCUGAUAAGCCGGUUGUGAAAGCCCCGGGCUCAACCUGGGAACGGCAUCCGGAACUGUCAGGCUAGAGUGCAGGAGAGGAAGGUAGAAUUCCCGGUGUAGCGGUGAAAUGCGUAGAGAUCGGGAGGAAUACCAGUGGCGAAGGCGGUCUGCUGGACUGACACUGACGCUGAGGUGCGAAAGCGUGGGUAGCAAACAGGAUUAGAUACCCGAGUAGUC